CUGGACUCUGGGAAGGGGACGCCACGCUCCUUCUGCGCAUGUGCAGCCGUAGCCUCCUCGUUUGUCUUCUCAGGACUCCAGAGAACCGUUGGGGAACUUUGGGGUGUGCUCGGAAAAUGCAGGGUGCGCACCUAGGGCGAGGGACUAGCUGGGAAGGGUGUGCCUGUGCUUGGGGAUGGGAGCAGGAAGUGUCUGGGACCUCGUCGCCCCCCGCGGCGGUGUAUAAACCCGGGCGGGCCGUCAGAGUGGUUAAGGCCGAUGGGGGAGACCCCGGCCCUCGGGAUCCCGGGGCGCAGGUGUUCGGGGCGGUCCGGGAUGCCCGAGGAUCGUGUGACCAGCCCGCCUGCAGCCCGACCGGAGAGAAGCCCGUGUCGGCGGCGGUGGGUGCGGGAGGGAGGAGUGCGUUUAUCAGGCGGACGGUGACCCGUGGGUCUGCGGUGGAGCCCGAGCUCUGGAGCACUACAGGCCCGGUCAGUGCCAGCUCUGUCACCUGUAAGCAGGGGCGACAGAAGGAACCUGGGCGAGAGUCAGGGUUCUCAUCUAUAAAUAUUAAUAAUGAUUGUUUCACGGCGGCGUUUGGAAACAUAGAUCACUAUUUUAGACAAGUGCCAGAGCUUCAGAGCAGAGACAAGAGCCCAGAAAGGAGCAGAUGCUAGAUUUGCAAGAUCAGAAGCAGGUCUUGAUCCUCCUGCCCAGAAUGGGCCAGACUUGAUGAUGAUGCCACCUUCAGGAGCCACCACACUGUGUGACAGUGGGGCAUUUGGGCCGUCCCUGGGAAGUACAGCUGAACCACAGUCCUCUGUACUCGCCCAGGAGCCACAGAAAGUGAACAUCCCUCAGAUUCCACCUGCCACCACUGGAGGAGGUUCAGGAGCUGUGUAUUCUGAGCCUGCUGUGAUCCCUGGUGUCUGUGCUUGUCCUUUGGAAUCUAUGCUGACAGGACCCAUCUGCGAUUGCCUGCUUGUAGCUGCUGCUUUGCUAAUGUAUGCACGGGCACUCUAGACGGGGUCCCUUGCUCUGGCUGACUGGCUGAGCUUGUGAGCCCAGCAGGGGGAGGGGCACUUCUUUUGCAUGUGCCAUCCCGUGGGUGUUCUCUCUUUGCCCUUGCUGUCUGUCCUCCUGGCGUGCUGGCUUCAUGAAGACAACCCCACAAUAGCUUAGCCUCCUCUGUGGAGCUUUCCUAUGGGAUGUGAGGGAACUUGGAGAGCAAAGGCAUUCCCACAGAGUCUCCCCCCAGGCCCCUCUUUUCUCAGAGCUGUGCAUGGUCCUGUGCCCUAGGUCAUUGCUGGGGAGGGAGAGGAGAUCCCCUUACUUCCUCCUUCUUCCUCCUGGGGGGUCCAGCACCUCCACCUUCAGACAUAUGGCUGCAUGGGUCUCUCAGAUGUCUUUUGUGUUGUGUGCCUGUCCUCUUUUGGUUUAUGAAUGUCCUUUUCAUUGUUUCUUAGGGAGGAGAGUCUAAGGGAAGAUCUCACUCCGCCGUGAUGCUGAUGUCAUGCCUGGUCAUUCUAUUUUUAAGUUUUUGAGGAAUCUCUGUACUGUUUUCCACAGUGGCUGCACCAAUUUACAUUCCCACCAGCAGUGUAUGAGGGCUCCCUUUUCUCCCAUCCUCUCCAACACUUCUGUUUUCUUUGUAAAGAUUGUCACCUGAGCUAACAUCUGUUGUCUAUCUUUUUUUCCUUCUUGUUCUCCCAAAACCCUCCCAGUACAUAGUUGUAUAUUGUAGUUAUAUGUCCUUCUGGCUGUGCUGUGUGGGAUGCCACCUCAGCAUGGCUUGAUGAGU
ensembl:lncRNA